rnacentral:lncRNA from 1 species
UUGACCCCCACUAUUUUAUAUUGUUUUUGAUAUUUGUUUUAACAUCUGUGAAUGUGUCUCAGCCUUAAGAUGAUUAACCUUAAAUAUUUCAUCUUAGGAAAACCGCAUGUAAAAUAGCAGCCGGUUUCUAAUUUUCUUAUGGUGAGUAAAUUUUCGUUUGAGGGACAUCAGGACAAGUAGGUUGUAAGUAGGUAUUGAGAAUCUAUAUAAGUAAGGUCGUAAUGCUUUAUGGAAGUUAAGCAGAUGUUGAUGCAUGCUGUAAUGGCACUGAAGAAUUUGGUUAAAAUUAAAUAAAGUACAAAGGCGUUGUUGCCAUAAUUUUUUUGUUGUAUUUGCAUGGCUAAUGUAAUGAAGAAUAUGAUGAUAGGACGAGAAAAAGGAAGUAACUGUCCCGGGAAUAAAAGCAAAUAACAAAGCUAGAUGAAUGGGAACUUAAUAUUAUGCUUGUGAUUUCUAUAAAAUAUAUUAUUUAUCCUUUUCCCACUCUUUAAUAUCAUUAUUGUAAUAAAACUCAUAGUUUAUAUAUGUACAUAUAAGAUAGCAAACUAAAGUUAUAUUUUUCUCCUUAUGUGUUAUUUUAUCUUUUUUAUAGUUAGCAGAUUUUUCUAGAUUGCCAAGACACAUCCUUGGACGGUAAAGAGAGACGACCAACAUUUGACGAGAUCAAUAGGUACUAAGCCAGGUGGAAAAAGUCCUGGAAUCGCCUGCGGAUUUUGCAUUUGAGCUACUCCACGAGUGACAAAGAUGGCAGCACACAGUGAAAUAAUUAAGUAGACUGAGACAACAGCUUUGCUUCCCAUCUUAUUGGUUAAUCUUUUUUUUUCCUUGUCCUUUUUAUUUCGGUUAUGCUUAAAAGCUAGGAACAAUCAUUGUUCCUUUCAGUUGUGUGCAGGGGAGUUAGGGAUGAUACGCGCACAAUUGUCCUUGAGGAGAGGAGGGAAGAAAGGAUUCAAAGGAAACAUAUGAGGCCAACAGUUUGCAUCUAAAGUUGAAAACACCUUGCAGCAUGCCGCUUCAACGUUUUCAAAUUUUCCAGAAAAAAAUGAGUUGGAGAUUGCCAGGACACAUCCUUGGACGGUAAAGAGAGACGACCAACAUUUGACGAGAUCAAUAGGUACUAAGCCAGGUGGAAAAAGUCCUGGAAUCGCCUGAGGAUUUUGCAUUUGAGCUACUCCACGAGUGACAAAGAUGGCAGCACACAGUGAAAUAAUUAAGUAGACUGAGACAACAGCUUUGCUUCCCAUCUUAUUGGUUAAUCUUUUUUUUUUCUUGUCCUUUUUAUUUCGGUUAUGCUUAAAAGCUAGGAUGGAUUUUGAUAUGCACAGAUACUAAGAAUAUAUAGGGUGAGGAUACAAAAUUUUAUCAUAUAAAUUAAACAGAAUGUACUGUAUCAGUUUUAGAAUUUCUUUCAAAAUGAAACUCAUGUUUAGGUUAAUGUAUUUUGAGUUACACUUUCUUUCAUGAAGUUGAGUUGACCAAUAUAACUAUAUUAUGGUCAUAUUUACGUUAUCAAACAGAAUAUUGAAAGUUUCUUUUGACCCCCACUAUUUUAUAUUGUUUUUGAUAUUUGUUUUAACAUUUGUAAAUGUGUCUCAGCCUUAAGAUGAUUAACCUUAAAUAUUUCUUCUUAGGAAAACCGCAUGUAAAAUAGCAGCUGGUUUCUAAUUUUCUUAUGGUGAGUAAAUUUUUGUUUGAGGGACAUCAGGACAAGUAGGUUGUAAUAAGUAGGUAUUGAGAAUCUAUAUAAGCAAGGUCGUAAUGUUUUAUGGAAGUUAAGCAGAUGUUGAUGCAUGCUGUAAUGGCACUGAAGAAUUUGGUUAAAAUUAAAUAGAGUACCAAAGCGUUGUUGCCAUAAUUUUCUUGUUGUAUUUGCAUGGCUAAUGUAAUGAAUAAUAUGAUGAUAGAAUGAGAAAAAGGAAGUAACUGUCCCGGGAAUAAAAAAAAAUAACAAAGCUAGACGAAUGGGAACUUAAUAUUAUACUUGUGAGUUCUAUAAAAAAAAUUAUUUAUCCUUUUUCCACUCUUUAAUAUCAGUAUUGUAAUAAAACUCAUAGUUUAUAUAUGUACAUGUAAGAUAGCAA